CUUAAAUUUUGUAGAAUAACCUUGAUAUGUGAAUUUGUAAAGAAUUAGGAUUUAGUAAAAUGUAUUAUGGAUUCAAGCUUACCGUGCAUUCAUUAUUUGCAGGUGCUGUUAGAGAAGCCUAAGGAUGGAACUGUUUGCAGUUUGCAUAAAAUAUGAAGAUAGCAGUAGUUGCUGCCAGUAAAACAAGCUCAGCAGUAUAGUAAAUUGAAAUGCCUAUGAAGAACCAAGUGGUUGUGCUGGAGGGCAAGCAAGGUUACAUCAGUUUGUUGUGCAGGAGAACUGGCAAACAUCCAGUUGUCAAAGGUUUCUUAUACAGCAAACCCAAGUCAUUGUGAACUUUCCUAAACCUGUGCAUAUUGUGCAGGCUUUAACCAUGAUGCUGAUCAUUGCAUUACUGCCAGUGAAAUGGGUCAUCAGUGCACCUACACUCGCAUGCCUAUAAAAGACCAUAAUUGUGCUGGAAUGCAUGCAAGGUCAUCUGAAUAUGCAGUUGAAUGUGGGUGCAUCUUGCUGAGGAAGAAUGCAUGUACAACAAAGCCACAAGGCACUUUGAGCUUAAUGCAAGUUUGGCAAGGUAUGAAUAUGAGCACAGCAGUACCUAGUGAAUUAAGCUCAUUGGUGUACCUUGGCUGAGAUGACCACAGAAAAAUGGAAGAUUGUACUCCAAAGUAAGCAAGGUCACAGGAUCCAUUGAACAUGCUUUGUGGAGCGUGUGAACAUCCUGUUGUCAAGAUACUGCACAUACAACCCACCCACAAGCCACUGUGAAUCCUUGUGUUCUGUUCUGUCACUUGCUCAUAUUAUAGUUCUUUUGAAGUAUGGCCAUCAGCCAUUCUUCAGAUAAAUUAUGGCAAUGUAAGAAAGUUGUGUAGAUUUACAAUAAAUAUGAAACUGUU